GCCAUGAAAUUGUCUUCCAAUGGGAUGGGUUCACUGCUCCAGAAAGAUGGCAUAGGCUCACCUAACCAACUCAUUCUCCAACAUGUCCACUUUGUUCAGGGUGGUAGCAUCUAUCACCAACUAUAAACAUUUGGACAGAUAGUAGCCCAUACCAAAAGAGGAAGGA
rnacentral:ribozyme from 1 species